GCAGCAGGCCGUCCAUGUCAAAGAUGAGUGCCGUCCUUCUCUUUUCCCCUCCACCCUUCUGCUUCAGCUCACGUGACUGGACUUUGCACUCGUUUACUGAUAAUACAAGCUCAGCCAUCUUGUUUGAAAACUAGAGGCAGAAACAGAAACAAUUCCGUGCUGCAAGGGUACUCUCCACGUGGAUUUGGUGUUUUUGGGUGUUCAGUCCCUGUCAGACCAGCAGCUGAGGCUGUUCUAAUACCAGGAGAACCACAGUAGCCAGUGGGAGAAGCACUGCAUACCGCUGCCUGGUGGAAACCGUACUUGGUGGGGAAAGAAGUCAAGGAAGGAGGAAGAGCAGCAGCAGGAGUAGUGAUGGAGCGGUAGUGGAAACAGCAGCACCUGGGCAAGCAGAAUUGGAUGAAUCAAGCAGCCACAUCCAAGAGGGGGAGUACUGUUUGUAUCCAGCACUGCUUACAAACUGGCAGCUCUGAAUUAAAAGCUGAUGACAUGGGUUACUCAUUUACAGAUGUUACUCUUAGCUACGUAAGAAGAGUUACAUCUUCAAUUUAUAUCAGUUGUUGUAACUGACAACUGAAU
rnacentral:lncRNA from 1 species